AACGAACGCUGGCGGCAUGCUUUACACAUGCAAGUCAAACGGUAACAGGCCGCAAGGUGCUGACGAGUGGCGAACGGGUGAGUAAUGCAUCGGAACGUGCCCAGUCGUGGGGGAUAACGCAGCGAAAGCUGCGCUAAUACCGCAUACGAUCUAUGGAUGAAAGCGGGGGACCGUAAGGCCUCGCGCGAUUGGAGCGGCCGAUGGCAGAUUAGGUAGUUGGUGGGGUAAAGGCUCGCCAAGCCAACGAUCUGUAGCUGGGCUGAGAGGACGACCAGCCACACGGGGACGGAGACACGGCCGAGCAUCCUACGGGAGGAAGCAGUGGGGAAUUAUGGACAAUGGGCGCAAGCCUGAUCCAGCAAUGCCGCGUGCAGGAAGAAGGCCUUGGGGUUGUAAACUGCUUUUGUACGGAACGAAACGGUCCGGGUUAAUACCCUGGGCUAAUGACGGUACCGUAAGAAUAAGCACCGGUUAACUACGUGCCAGCUGCCGCCGUAAAAC
rnacentral:rRNA from 1 species